rnacentral:rRNA from 1 species
ACGCUGGCGGCAGGCCUAACACAUGCAAGUCGAGCGGCAGCACAGGUACUUGUACCGGGUGGCGAGCGGCGGACGGGUGAGUAAUGCCUAGGAAUCUGCCUGGUAGUGGGGGAUAACGCUCGGAAACGGACGCUAAUACCGCAUACGUCCUACGGGAGAAAGCAGGGGACCUUCGGGCCUUGCGCUAUCAGAUGAGCCUAGGUCGGAUUAGCUAGUUGGUGGGGUAAUGGCUCACCAAGGCGACGAUCCGUAACUGGUCUGAGAGGAUGAUCAGUCACACUGGAACUGAGACACGGUCCAGACUCCUACGGGAGGCAGCAGUGGGGAAUAUUGGACAAUGGGCGAAAGCCUGAUCCAGCCAUGCCGCGUGUGUGAAGAAGGUCUUCGGAUUGUAAAGCACUUUAAGUUGGGAGGAAGGGCAGUAAAUUAAUACUUUGCUGUUUUGACGUUACCGACAGAAUAAGCACCGGCUAACUCUGUGCCAGCAGCCGCGGUAAUACAGAGGGUGCAAGCGUUAAUCGGAAUUACUGGGCGUAAAGCGCGCGUAGGUGGUUCGUUAAGUUGGAUGUGAAAUCCCCGGGCUCAACCUGGGAACUGCAUUCAAAACUGACGAGCUAGAGUAUGGUAGAGGGUGGUGGAAUUUCCUGUGUAGCGGUGAAAUGCGUAGAUAUAGGAAGGAACACCAGUGGCGAAGGCGACCACCUGGACUGAUACUGACACUGAGGUGCGAAAGCGUGGGGAGCAAAC